CGCAGGAUGGAAUGGAGGGCGACCUUUGAAUUCCUGUUCAGCUGUGGCCUGACUGUGUGGAGUUUCUCCUUUUGCCCAAUAUCAUCCGGAAUUAGUUCAACUCAGCUAUGACCUUCAAAGGAUAUAAAAUUCACAUUGAGGCAAAGACCAAUCAGUGCCAAGAUUCUCCAGAUGACGUCACAUACUUGGCGGCCAGACCCUGCUAAAACUGGAGGAGAAAGCGAUACCCUGAACUGCCCAAGCCUUCGUCAUGGGCUUCAGAUGCCGGUAGCUGUUUAAGCCAAUGAGCCCGGUGAUUCCAGAAAACACCGCAUCGCAUCAUCUGCGUUUGGUGUGAAUGCAGCCUAAAAUCACCUCUGCCAUCAUUCUGGAUCUGUGGGAAUCCAGUUAAAUGUUCUCCCAGUUCCAACUGUUUUGACAUCUUGGGGGAAACAACAGCGAUCCACCAUCUUCACUUUUAAGACGAAAACAGCGGGCGAAGAGACACAUUAUCUGACAUAUUGAUUUACGUGUUGUCUAGUAUAUACCGCUGUAGAUACAUACUGUAUUGUAGCCCUUCAUCCAAUGUCCUGUUGCUACACAAACAGUGACAAUAAAGCUGAAUAAAUAAAUACAA